rnacentral:rRNA from 1 species
GUAGGUGGCAAGCGUUGUCCGGAAUUAUUGGGCGUAAAGCGCGCGCAGGCGGUUCUUUAAGUCUGAUGUGAAAGCCCACGGCUCAACCGUGGAGGGUCAUUGGAAACUGGAGAACUUGAGUACAGAAGAGGAAAGCGGAAUUCCACGUGUAGCGGUGAAAUGCGUAGAGAUGUGGAGGAACACCAGUGGCGAAGGCGGCUUUCUGGUCUGUAACUGACGCUGAGGCGCGAAAGCGUGGGGAGCAAACAGGGAUUAGAUACCCUGGUAGUCCACGCCGUAAACGAUGAGUGCUAAGUGUUAGGGGGUUUCCGCCCCCUUAGUGCUGCAGCUAACGCAUUAAGCACUCCGGCCUGGGGAGUACGACCGCAAGGUUG